GAGCCUGAUCCAGCAAUGCCGCGUGUGUGAAGAAGGCCUUCGGGUUGUAAAGCACUUUUGUCCGGAAAGAAAUCCGCCUGGCUAAUACCCGGGCGGGAUGACGGUACCGGAAGAAUAAGCACCGGCUAACUACGUGCCAGCAGCCGCGGUAAUACGUAGGGUGCGAGCGUUAAUCGGAAUUACUGGGCGUAAAGCGUGCGCAGGCGGUUAUGCAAGACAGGUGUGAAAUCCCCGGGCUCAACCUGGGAACUGCACUUGUGACUGCAUGACUAGAGUGCGUCAGAGGGAGGUGGAAUUCCGCGUGUAGCAGUGAAAUGCGUAGAGAUGCGGAGGAACACCGAUGGCGAAGGCAGCCUCCUGGGAUGACACUGACGCUCAUGCACGAAAGCGUGGGGAGCAAACAGGAUUAGAUACCCUGGUAGUCCACGCCCUAAACGAUGUCAACUAGUUGUCGGGGAUUCAUUUCCUUGGUAACGCAGCUAACGCGUGAAGUUGACCGCCUGGGGAGUACGGCCGCAAGGUUAAAACUCAAAGGAAAUUGACGGA
rnacentral:rRNA from 1 species